AUUGAACGCUGGCGGCAGGCCUAACACAUGCAAGUCGAGCGGAUGAAGGGAGCUUGCUCCUGGAUUCAGCGGCGGACGGGUGAGUAAUGCCUAGGAAUCUGCCUGGUAGUGGGGGAUAACGUCCGGAAACGGGCGCUAAUACCGCAUAAGUCCUGAGGGAGAAAGGGGGGGAUCUUCGGACCUCACGCUAUCAGAUGAGCCUAGGUCGGAUUAGCUAGUUGGUGGGGUAAAGGCCUACCAAGGCGACGAUCCGUAACUGGUCUGAGAGGAUGAUCAGUCACACUGGAACUGAGACACGGUCCAGACUCCUACGGGAGGCAGCAGUGGGGAAUAUUGGACAAUGGGCGCAAGCCUGAUCCAGCCAUGCCGCGUGGGUGAAGAAGGUCUUCGGAUUGUAAAGCACUUUAAGUUGGGAGGAAGGGCAGUAAGUUAAUACCUUGCUGUUUUGACGUUACCAACAGAAUAAGCACCGGCUAACUUCGUG
rnacentral:rRNA from 1 species